rnacentral:rRNA from 1 species
CAGUAGCCGCGGUAACACGUAGGGUGCAAGCGUUAAUCGGAAUUACUGGGCGUAAAGCGUGCGCAGGCGGUUUGUUAAGACAGAUGUGAAAUCCCCGGGCUCAACCUGGGAACUGCAUUUGUGACUGGCAGGCUAGAGUAUGGCAGAGGGGGGUGGAAUUCCGCGUGUAGCAGUGAAAUGCGUAGAUAUGCGGAGGAACACCGAUGGCGAAGGCAGCCCCCUGGGCCAAUACUGACGCUCAUGCACGAAAGCGUGGGGAGCAAACAGGAUUAGAUACCCCAGUAGUCCCUGUCUCUUAUAC